rnacentral:lncRNA from 10 species
GCUAGGACAAGACAAAAUUAUUAAAAGCUUCCAGGGAUUUAGACAAAAAGAAAGGUGCUGAGGUCCUAAGCUUCUGAGGAGCCAUAUCUAAUGCCACAGCCCAGGAUUGGAGAUAAUCGGCCAUCCUUGCUUGUUGAUGGAAAAGAAAAAAAAUACUGAAGAAGAUUCUUUAGGUAUUCCUGUAUGAAGUCUCCUUUAGCAGAAGUCUUUCAAAACUUCUGCUAAAAUACAGACUUUAUAACCUACAUUUCAGUUGUGUUAACUUUUCCUGAAACUAAGUGUGACCACAGACAUUCGUGUAAAGCCAGAAACUUCAGAAUUUGGGAGUGUCCCAAAUGCAGUACCCUUUUCAAAAUGCAUGUGACAAAACACCUUUCUUCCCUGAGCUAUGAGCUGGAAGAAUUUUCUCAGCCUUCAUGUAGUUUUGGAGGCUGCAAGUCCAAG